AUUGAACGCUGGCGGAAUGCUUUACACAUGCAAGUCGAACGGUAGAGGGGGCAACCCCUCGAGAGUGGCGAACGGGUGAGUAAUAUAUCGGAACGUGCCCAGUCGUGGGGGAUAACGUAGCGAAAGUUACGCUAAUACCGCAUACGAUCUACGGAUGAAAGCGGGGGAUCGCAAGACCUCGCGCGAUUGGAGCGGCCGAUAUCAGAUUAGGUAGUUGGUGGGGUAAAAGCCUACCAAGCCGACGAUCUGUAGCUGGUCUGAGAGGACGACCAGCCACACUGGGACUGAGACACGGCCCAGACUCCUACGGGAGGCAGCAGUGGGGAAUUUUGGACAAUGGGCGCAAGCCUGAUCCAGCCAUGCCGCGUGCGGGAAGAAGGCCUGGGUUGUAAACCGCUUUGUCAGGAGAAAGUCUUCUAGGCUAAUACCUUGGAGGAUGACGGUACCGUGAAGAAUAAAGCACCGGCUAACUACGUAG
rnacentral:rRNA from 1 species